UACAGAGGUCUCAAGCGUUGUUCGGAAUCACUGGGCAUAAAGGGCGCGUAGGCGGCUCGCGAGGUCGGGGGUGAAAUCCCACAGCUUAACUGUGGAAGUGCCUUCGAUACCGGCGGGCUGGAGGAAGGUAGGGGUGCGCGGAACUUCUGGUGGAGCGGUGAAAUGCGUUGAUAUCAGAAGGAACGCCGGCGGCGAAAGCGGCGCACUGGACCUUUUCUGACGCUGAGGCGCGAAAGCCAGGGGAGCAAACGGG
rnacentral:rRNA from 1 species